AAAACAACUCUCGGCAACGGAUAUCUCGGCUCUCGCAUCGAUGAAGAACGUAGCGAAAUGCGAUACUUGGUGUGAAUUGCAGAAUCCCGUGAACCAUCGAGUCUUUGAACGCAAGUUGCGCCCGAAGCCGUCAGGCCGAGGGCACGUCUGCCUGGGCGUCACGC
rnacentral:rRNA from 1 species